GACGAACGCUGGCGGCGUGCUUAACACAUGCAAGUCGAACGGAAAGGCCCCUUUGGGGGUACUCGAGUGGCGCACGGGUGAGUAACACGUGAGUAACCUGCCCUUGACUUCGGGAUAACUUCAGGAAACUGGGGCUAAUACCGGAUAGGAAUCCUUGCUGCAUGGUGGGGUUGGAAAGCUUCGGCGGUUUUGGAUGGACUCGCGGCUUAUCAGCUUGUUGGUGGGGUAGUGGCUUACCAAGGCUUUGACGGGUAGCCGGCCUGAGAGGGCGACCGGCCACAUUGGGACUGAGAUACGGCCCAGACUCCUACGGGAGGCAGCAGUGGGGAAUAUUGCACAAUGGGCGGAAGCCUGAUGCAGCAACGCCGCGUGCGGGAUGACGGCCUUCGGGUUGUAAACCGCUUUCAGCAGGGGCGAAGCUUGUGGUGACGGUACCUGCAGAAGAAGCACCGGCUAACUACGUG
rnacentral:rRNA from 1 species